rnacentral:piRNA from 1 species
UAGAUGGCACCUGCAUUUUCAAUGAUGUUG